CAAAUCCAGAACCAGGAGGCUUCGAUUCUUGAUGGAACAACUCCAGGAAAGAAACUUUGGGAAGCUCUAAGGGGCCAUGACGGAACUUCUCUGGAUCCCAAGUGUCUGGAAGACUUGGACUGUUACUGAAAGAGCAUGACUUAUGUCCUGGAAUUGAUGAUGCCUUCCUGUAGGAGGAAUAUAAGAGGCACUAAGGUUAUAGAACAGAUGCCGAAAUGGCCACGUUUUCAGUGCUUCCUAGACUCCGACAUUUGCCAUCAUGAGAUUACAAAGCUCCAGUAAAGAGAAGUUGCCUAAAGCCACCUAAGUAAUUAAAAGGAAGCAAAACCUUGAAAAUGGAGGAGUAUAGCAGCUAUUAUUUGGACCUUUUGUUUGUUUCUUUCCUCUGACUGCUCCAUAGGAUGUAGAUAUUGUAGGCAUGAACAUCUGAUAUUGAGACUUACUGACUUCUCUUCAGCCAGACUUUGUUUACAUCACGAUUGAGUCUGCUUUUAAUCAAGCCAGCAAUAUGUCAAUGCCCAAUCCAAUGGAAAUUGGUGGUUUUCAUCUUGA
rnacentral:lncRNA from 1 species